GGCUGUAAGGCUUAAAAAUAAUAGUAAGAAAGUGGUGUAGAGUAGAGUGGUAGAAGGAUUCGGCUAUGUAGAAAAGAAGAGAAGAAAAUAGAUGGAGAGAAAAACAAAGAAAUGAAGAGGAGGAAGGAUGGUCAGAAAACGGCACAACUUACCCCUAAUGCGGAACUUAUCCUUGGCAUUUGACCUAGCCGAAACUAGCCCCCUAAAGAAAAACCUUUGGCCAGCCAACUCUUGCUCCUCAAGAGUCCACCAUUCGGCCAACACUACUCUCCCUAAUUAGCUCCUAAAUCCUCUCCCUUAUCCCCUCCUUACUCAAUCACCUGAGCAAC
rnacentral:lncRNA from 1 species